rnacentral:rRNA from 3 species
UCUGGUGAUGAUGGAAACAUGGAAACACCUGGUCACAUUUCGAACCCAGAAGUUAAGCAUGUUCUCGGCGACGAUAGUGUAAGCGAAAAUAGCAUGUUGCCAGGC